GUGCUUGCUUCAGCAGCACAUAUACUAAAAUUGGAAUGAUACAGAGAUGAUUAGCACAGCCCCUGAAAGGAUGACAUGCAAAUUCGUGAAGCGUCAAAAUAAGGA